CGCUGAGAGGAACUCCUCCGUCAUUCUGAUGCGUUAAUCAGCAUUCAAACAUGUUUAAGUCAUGUAAUUCAAGUGUUUAUGUUUUGAUGAGCCUCGGAUUACUGUUGAUAUCUGCUGGAGCUUUCACCGAUUCUGAUUGUGAUUAUCCGGAGAUCGUCUCAAGUUCGUUGACUCGGAGAAGGAUUCCACGAGACUUGAGCACCUGUCCCUUGCCACCGCCGGUUCGGAAUGGGCAUUGGGAGAUAUAUUCUUCCCUGUGUGCGAAUAAGAAACACUGUAACAUCAGCCUAGAGCCAGAACAGUUAACUAUGAAUGCAGACACGAAAUUAGUGUAUUUUUGUGAUAAUGGCUAUCGUCUGUUGGGCAACGGACAUGUUAACUGUACCGAUGGGGGCAUUUGGUCGCCUGUUCCACGAUGUGCAGCUUGUGGAACAAGUUUCCCGGAAGACAUCAGAACCUCUUCAGUAAGUGGAUCCUCGAUCCAUUUGAUGAACCCCCCAUGGCACACAUCAAUAUACCGAAUCAACUCUACCAAUAGCAAGACAAUAUUUAUUUGCGGAGCAACGAUAAUUACAGAUGAGUUAUUAAUCACCGGCGCUCACUGUAUGUUCAAUGAAGAAACUCGUGAACUGGAAAACCCCAGUGAAUUCUUCAUUAAAGCCGCAAAUGAAAGGGCUUUACGACUACAUGUGAAGAAAAUUUAUAAAAAUUGUAAUUAUCGGGGGGUAGCAGACGAGCACGAUAAUGACGUUGCAAUUCUUGAAAUAGAACCACGUCUCAUGUUCACGCCAAACUUAUUCCCAAUCUGUUUCGAGGAGAAUGCAAAAUCCCCGGAACCGGGUGAAUAUGGGCUGAUAGCAGGAUUUGAGAACCCGAAAGGCAAAAGUUCCCGACCGAUUCUUAAAAAAUCACUAGUGCCAUUCUUACCCAAAAAUGACUGCAUUCGACAGAGUGCAAUUUUUAGUGCUCAAGCUUUUGUUACCGGAGAUAAAUUCUGCACUGGAUACGCAAACGGCUCUGCUGUAUGCUCUGGAGACAGCGGAAGUGGUCUAGCAUUCAAAAAGGAUAAUCUGUGGUACCUCCGAGGCAUCUUGAGCGUCAUAAUCAGAAUUGAUUCCACUGAAAAUGCGAGGACGUGUGAUAACCAUAAGUCUACAUUGUAUACAGACGUAUCGCAUCACAUAUCAUGGAUACAAGACAUUAUUCUUCGGGUGGAAAAGGGGAAAACUAUUCCAGAGUGCCCACCAGUUAUCCCAUUUCGAGAAACGCCCUUGGGGUAUACUGGAGCUGAACAUGCAUCCCCCUUUCCUAAUCAAUGCUCUGCGUAUCUAUUUCGGUGCAACGACGGUGCUUGCGUCGGUCGCAGAGCCAUUUGUGAUGGAAAAACUGAUUGCGUUGACGGGAGUGACGAGACGUUGCCAAGCUGCGGUGGUUGCAAUGCGACGGAAUUCAAAUGUAGUACGGGUCAGUGCAUCGAUAAAUACAAGGUCUGUGAUGGAUCAUUAGAUUGCCCUGACAAAUCUGAUGAGACCGCCGGGAUUUGCAUAGGAUAUGAAGACUUGGAAACAACAACUAAAUCAUCAGAGAAAAGGCACCGAACCAAGCCAACACCCCAGAGGGGUUGUUCACGACCUCCAGAGGUUCGGAAUGGUUACUGGAAGCUGCACUCCUCCCAAUGCCCGAGUAGUAGCGACCACUGCGAGCCUCGAGAGGGGGUGCACAUGGUCCCCGGAACGCAUCUAGUAUAUAUUUGUAAUAAUGGGUACCAUUUGACGAAUGUUCAGGAUGUUUACUGUGCCACUGACGGAAGUUGGUCGGUUAUUCCACAAUGCGAAGAAAUUCACUGCAAAGUACUGGAUACGCCAUCAACGAAAGCUGAUUGCAGCCGUAACGGUCAAUGGACAUCUUGUGCGAUACCAGUGCUGCCAGGAACUCAAGCACAUUUAUCUUGCCGCAGCGCUUAUCGUCGGGAGGAUUCAGUCUGGCAACGAAAUCAUGUCACAUGUAAUACACAAGGGCUGUGGGAACCAGAGGCAAUACAAUGCAUUCCAGUGUGUGGAACUAAACCGUCAAAAUCAGUGAAACCCCUGAUAGUGGAUGGAUUUCAGCCGAAUAUAACCGACUUUCCUUGGCAUGCAACGCUAUAUGAGACAAAUUCUGAGAAAGUGAAAAAAUUCAUCUGUGGAGCUACAGUAAUCACAGAGAAUUUAUUAAUAACAGCUGCUCACUGUAUAUUCGAUGAAGGGACUAAAAAGUCGAAGAAACCCGAAAAGUUUUUAAUUUCUGUUGGAAAUAUCUUCAGGGACUAUGACAUGGAGUAUCCCCCACAAAUAGAAGUUAGAAAAGCAAAAGUAAUAAACAUCUACAUGAACUGUGAUUAUCAAGGAUACAGGGGUAAUCACGACCAAGACAUUGCGAUUCUUCGAGUAGAGCCUUCCCUCGAUUUCAAAUCUUACUUGGUGCCAAUAUGUCUCGAUACGACAGUAAGAAGUCUCGCCAUUGAUAUAGGUACACUUGGACAAGUAGCGGGAUUUGGUAGAACAGCAACAGGAUCCUCCAGUUCGAUAAUUCGGGCACUAUCAGUGCCAGUGGUGCCUAAGAACAAAUGCAUUGAACAGGCUGACGAGGUGAAUGGUCGAAAUUUCAUCACUCCGGAUAAAUUCUGUGCUGGAUAUACAAACGGAUCAUCUGUAUGUAAUGGAGAUAGUGGAGGUGGAUUGAUAUUCGAAACAAAUAGAUUGUCGUACCUUCGUGGUAUUGUGAGCAGUGGCAUUGGAGUAGAUGAUACCGAUGCUGAAGCAACUUGUGAUAAUAAUCGAUACACCAUAUAUACAGAAGUAGCGUUCCACAUAUCAUGGAUACAAGACAUAAUGUUCAAGAAACUCGACUUUAUUUCGACAUCUACGACUUUUCCUGUCAACUGGCCAAUCAGACUUGAAACACCAAAUAAUCAUUGGAGGCCUCUUUUUUACCACGUCCCCGUAUAUAUAUAGACGACUUGCAAAUCAUGCUCAUCGAAGCUGAAAGCAGCCUAGUGGACGAACGACAGAUUUUGGGCUUUGUUGACGAUAGACAGCGCAGUCAUAAGGAACGAUUAAACGCAAGGCUGGCGGUUGUUAAUGAAUAUUAUGAAUUGUUAAGGACCAAAUGAAGAUCGGAAAAUGUUCAGAGGAACAUAGCAAAGGAUGCCGUAAAUUAUUCGAUGGGACGAUUGACCGGUUGCGCAAGCGGUGGUUCAGUAGAACAGACGCAUGCAACAAGAAUGGCAACGAUUAUAAAAGAGUCCUAACGGAUUACAUUAACGAACAUGAGCCGAGACUAGAGAGAUUUCAAUCGCAACUUGUAAAUUUACUGGAGUCAUGGUCCAAGAAUAGUGACAGUGAGGAGUGUUCCCGAGGAUACGAUAAAUUGUCCCUCGACGUUAAAAAUUGGAGAACAAAACUAGACCAGCAGUGGAGGAGUCUACCGAAUCUAUCUGACGUUCUGGAUCAAAAUAGAAAAUGCAUGCAGGCAUCAUUCAAAGAUUUUGAAGGUCACCUUCGUAAUUUUAUACCCACUUUAUUGAACUGCGCGAAAUGCAGACCCAUUGAAACGCAGACACUCCAUUGAUAUGCGUGACAUCAUCAUUCGAAAAAUUGGAGGAAGUACCUUGGCAAUUUCACACACUCUAUUGAACUAUUUAUGAGUUCAACUGGAGAUGCCAGACAGUUCGAACUUGCGUGUUUGUUCCUGUUCAGUUUUUCAUCAUAACCCUUCGUGUUCCUCUUCCACCCGUUUCCAAUAAGCCUCUAUUCCCGUAAAUCCCUCCCAAUUUCCCUUUUCUCCGCUUCCGAGAUACGUGAAAAGGUUACUCUGUUUAUUGGCUCUCCGAUAAUUGUAUCUCUGUCAAAUUAUAGAAAACCAUUAUGAAGUGAAUGGAGUGAAUAUUGAGGAAUAAAAUGAACAAUAAUGUUUGUUACAUCCCAUGGAGAAUUGUGAAUUGUGUGAUGGAUUUUUUAAUUAAUUAUUCAAGUUAAUUCAUGUAGUUUGAAGGAA